AAUAAUGCAUACGGUGGAUGCCUUGGUCGAAAGUACCGAUGAAGGACGUAUUAGGCUGCGAUAAGCUUCGGGGAGCUGCCAAAAAGCUUUGAUCCGAAGAUUUCCGAAUAUGAUAACUGGUCCCGAUUUAUCGGGACAUCCCAACAUGAAUUCAUAGUGUUGGGAAGGGUACAGCCCGAACUGAAACAUCUAAGUAAGGCUAGGAAAAGAAAACAAUAGUUUAUUCCCCAAGUAGCGGCGAGCGAAAAGGGAGGAGCCUAAACCCGCCUCUCAAGCGUAAGCGAGAGGGCGGGGGUUGUGGGGUUUACGAUAUAGCAUCAGUCGAAGAUAGUUAAAGUCGUUGGAAAGCGACACCAAAGAAGGUGAUAGUCCUGUAAACGAAAUUUGAGACUGGCUUAGUAAAUACCCGAGUAGCGCAGGACACGUGUAACCCUGUGUGAAUCCGGCGGGACCAUCCGCUAAGGCUAAAUAUACUUUCGGACCGAUAGUGAACUAGUACCGCGAGGGAAAGGUGAAAAGAAGAGCGAAACGCUCAGUGAAAUAGUACCUGAAACCGUAUGUUGACAAGCAGAGAAAGUGGAGGUUUACUUCUACAAUCUCGUGCCUAUUGAAGAAUGAACCGGUGAGUUACCGUAUCCUUUUUGCUUAAGCCAUUCUGUGGCGAAAGCGUAGUGAAAGCGAGGGUUAAUAGCCCGUUUACAGGAUGCGAUAGACCCGAAACCGAGUGAGCUAUCCAUGUCCAGGGUGAACCCCGACUAACGUCGUGGGGGAGGCCCGAACCCGUUGUUGUAUCAAUAACUUGGGAUGAGAUGUGGUUAGAGGUGAUAUGCCUAACGAACUCGGAGAUAGCUGGUUCUCCUCGAAAUAUAUCUAGGUAUAGCCUGAAAUUUACCUGCAGGGGUAGAGCACUGGAUGGAUUCUGGUCGAGCAAUCGAUCAGGUUCAACCAAACUCCGAAUACUGCAGCAGUUAUUUCAGAGUCAGUCCGAUCCGGCUAAGCGGAGCGGGCCUAAGGGAAACAUCCCAGAUCAAUAGCUAAGGUCCCUAAAUGCAAGUUAAGUGUGAAAGGUAGUCUUUGUCCUUAGACAGCCAGGAAGUUGGCUUAGAAGCAGCCAUCUUUUAAAGAUAGCGUAACAGCUCGCUGGUCUACUAUGGGUGAGGGCGCCGACAAUUAAUCGGGGCUAAACUUGCUACCGAAGCUUUGGAUUUACCCCGCCUUUGGGCGGGGCAAGUGGUAGAGGAGCGUUCUAUGUGAAGUGAAUGGUCGCCGUGAGGCGACCUGGAUUGCAUAGAAGUGAGAAUGCCGGUAUGAGUAGCGUAUUGACGUGAGAAACGUCAUCGCCGAAUGCCCAAGGUUUUCCACGCAAUGUUAAUCAACGUGGAGUUAGUCGGUCCUAAGGUCAGGCCUAAAAGGCGUAGCCGAUGGACAACAGGUUAAAAUUCCUGUAUUGAGUUGUAUCUGACAAAUUCUCGAUUAGUCGCAAGACGACAUCGGAACCGUUAAGGGGGGACAAAGUAGGAAAACUCUUGCCCGGCAUUGCCGGGUAGAAGCAAUGAGCUAGUUGAGGCAGGUAAAUCCGCUUCAACAACCCCACAUCAAUCUGUUUACAGGUUGGUGUGGGAUCCAAGAUGCAAGUUGCGAUCUCGAGAGAAGAACUUUUUCUGUUUUCAAGAAAAUCCUCGUAAAGGAGAUACGAUUUAACCGUACCGUAAACCGACACAGGUGGGCGAGUUGAGUAUACAAAGGCGAUCGGGAGAACUAUCCUUAAGGAACUCGGCAACGAAAGCUGGACGUAACCUUUGGGAGAUGUCCUGGGGUGUACCAUACGGUACGCCCUUACAACAAAAGACGCUAAGCGACUGUUUAACAAAAACACAGGUCCCUGCUAAAUCGAAAGAUGAUGUAUAGGGGCUGACACCUGCCCAGUGCCAGUAAUUUACUGUCUCAAGUGACCCAUGUACCAUUACGGUGCAUGGUGAGCCUGGGGCCUAAGAUCUGGUGAACGGCAGCAGUAACUAUAACUGUUCUAUGGUUUUGGGAAUUUCAAAGCCUUAGAUGGUGGUGUGUUUUUAGAAUUCGACUAUAUGCUGGAAACUCUGGUGUAUCUUGAGCUAGUUGACAUUUGGGUUUAUUUCGGAUAAUAAUGAAAUAAUGCCUAAAUUUCCAACUAAUAAAGCUACAAGUGCAGACAAUCAGCAGGAAAGACUUAGGAUCUCAAGUUGGAUAGUUGGUUUUGUGGAUGGAGAAGGAUGCUUUUCGGUUUCUAUUUUCAAGAAUAGGACAACAAGAAGCGGAUUUCAGGUAAUGCCUGAAUUUGUGGUUACACAAGGUCAAAAAAGUUUAGAUAGUUUGCAAAUUAUCAAAGACUUUUUUGAAUGUGGAGCAAUCUAUGUAAAUAGACGCUAUGAUAACCAUAAAGAGAAUAUCUACCGUUAUUGUGUUCGUUCGACAAAAGAUUUGAACGAAAAGAUUAUUCCUUUUUUCAAAGCAAACAAACUACUAACUUAUAAGAAAAAUGAUUUUGAAACUUUCUGUAAAGCAAUGGAGAUGAAAUUAUUAAAUCUUCACUUAACAGCAGACGGUUUACAAAGUUUUAGAGAUCUUAAGAAUCCUCAGAGACUAAUACGUCGAACUCCGCCAUUGGCGGGGAAGAUAGAGUCCGAACUGCAUAGCGAUAUGCAGAUGUGACGAUUAGAUUGUCACAGCAACAUAAUUGAGCGAAGUUCCUUGUCUGGUUGGUUUGCGGGUCACGCAAAACUUGCCAGAACUCCGAUUAAAAUCGGAGGCACUUAGGAACGGAAAGUUAAACAGAAAGUCGAAAAUUAAGUGUAAAAUCUGACUAAAUGCUGGAAUAACUCUGAAUCUGACAGUAGUCCAAUGGACUAAUAA
rnacentral:rRNA from 1 species